rnacentral:rRNA from 1 species
GAUGAACGCUGGCGGCGUGCCUAAUACAUGCAAGUCGAGCGAACAGACGAGGAGCUUGCUCCUCUGACGUUAGCGGCGGACGGGUGAGUAACACGUGGAUAACCUACCUAUAAGACUGGGAUAACUUCGGGAAACCGGAGCUAAUACCGGAUAAUAUAUUGAACCGCAUGGUUCAAUAGUGAAAGACGGUUUUGCUGUCACUUAUAGAUGGAUCCGCGCCGCAUUAGCUAGUUGGUAAGGUAACGGCUUACCAAGGCGACGAUGCGUAGCCGACCUGAGAGGGUGAUAGGACACACUGGAAGUGAGACACGGUCCAGACUCCUACGGGAGGCAGCAGUAGGGAAUCUUCCGAAAUGGGCGAAAGCCUGACGGAGCAACGCCGCGUGAGUGAUGAAGGUCUUCGGAUCGUAAAACUCUGUUAUUAGGGAAGAACAAAUGUGUAAGUAACUAUGCACGUCUUGACGGUACCUAAUCAGAAAGCCACGGCUAACUACGUG